UUGGAAGUUGAGGCAUAAUAUUGAUUUGGAGAAGAAUUACGAACAGAAUCAGACGAUGGAACAUUGCUGUUCAUGUUGACCUUUAAUGCAGAGGUAGGUCGAAAAGAGGGGACCGGAUGAGCAGGAAUCAGAGGUUUCCGUUGUAACUCAUAAGGAUAAGAGAAUGCAUAUUCAUCAUGAUUUGGGACGGGUUGAUGAGUUAGGCCUUGCGAAAGGUCAUGCUGAGAAGAGAAUGACGGAAUAGUGGUAUUAGAGGAACCAUUUUGUUGUAGAUUUUGAUAAUCUUGCAUUUGGUUUAAAGAUGGGGACUGAGUAGGGAGAAUAUUUGAGCCGGUAAAGGAAUACGCAUUGGGUUGAGAGGAAUGGUCAGGAAGGACAGAGUAAUUGUUUUCAAAAGUUGCUGGCGGAUAAGGAUGCAUCUCAUUGGAAGGAUUCAUCGUUGUAUAAGGUGUGGAAUAGGUUUGGGUGUUAUCCUGUGAGUCCUCCUGAGGUAGACCAAAAGAAUGAAAUGAAGGAUUAGCAAAUGCUGUGCCAUCUGCGUUCAACGCUUGAGAUUCGUUUUUUUCCGAGUAAUACGGACUCACUGAAGACGUGGAGUGGGCCUUGGAGCUACUGAUGGCGGGUGAAACCGAGUCUCCAUAGAUGCGAACGGGUUCCUGUAAAGAGGUGGAUUUGGCGAGUGAAUACAAUUGUGGAGACUCUAAAUUAGCAUUGAUGGAUCCUAUUGCUGUAGCGACUCUUCUUAUGUUCCUAGUUGAAUCAUAAAACUCCUGUGUUUUAAUAUCUUCGGAAGAAGGACGUUUCUGAACGUUUGGGGACAUAGAAUUUGACGAAGGUGAAAAG